rnacentral:rRNA from 1 species
UGGCUGUCGUCAGCUCGUGCCGUGAGGUGUUGGGUUAAGUCCCGCAACGAGCGCAACCCUCGUGCUAUGUUGAUUUCUCAUAGCAGACUGCCCUGUACAGCAGGGAGGAAGGUGGGGAUGACGUCAAGUCAGCAUGGCCUUUAUGCCCUGGGCUACACACACGCUACAAUGGGUGGUACAGAGGGCUGCUACACAGUGAUGUGAUGCCAAUCCCUUAAAGCCAUCCUCAGUUCGGAUUGCAGGCUGCAAUCGCCUGCAUGAAGUCGGAGCUGCUAGUAACCGCAGGUCAGCCAUACUGCGGUGAAUACGUUCUCGGGCCUUGUACACACCGCCCGUCACGCCAUGGGAGCCGGAAACACCUGAAGUCGAUGGGCCAACCGUUCGCGGAGGCAGUCGCCGAGGGUGGAGCUGGUGACUGUGACGAAGUCGUAACAAGGCAGCCGUACGGGAACGUGCGGCUGAAUCACCUCCUUUCUAGGGAG